rnacentral:rRNA from 1 species
CUGCGGAAGGAUCAUUGUCGAAACCUGCACCUUGCAGAACGAAACCUGCACCCUGCAGAAUGACCCGCGAACGUGCCAACCCCGGCGCAGUACGCGCCAAGGAAUAGAAAAUGAAAAGGGCGUGCUUUUCUUUCGGAAUGCAUUGCCUUCUUUCAAGAAUCAAAAUGACUCUCGGCAACGGAUAUCUCGGCUCUCGCAUCGAUGAAGAACGCAGCAAAAUGCGAUACUUGGUGUGAAUUGCAGAAUCCCGUGAAUCAUCGAGUUUUUGAACGCAAGUUGCGCCCGAAGCCUUUCGGCCAAGGGCACGCCUGCCUGGGUGUCACGCAUACGUCGCCCCAUCCUCUCGACACCUCGGGAGUCAUGGGAGCAGAAGUUGGCCUCCUGUGUGCCUUGCGCAUGUGGUUGGCCCAAAAUGCAUGUUCGCGGCAAAUGAUAGCCAUGACGAUCGGUGGUUGUAAAGACCCUCUGAAAAAGUCGUGCGCUGUUCUUAGACGUCGGGACAUUCCUUGACCCUAGGGCGUCUUCAGGGCGCGCUCCGACCGCGACCCCAGGUCAGGCGGGACUACCCGCUGAG